CACGCAGUAAACGAUGAUUACUAGGAGUUUGCGAUAUACAGUAAGCUCUACAGCGAAAGCGUUAAGUAAUCCACCUGGGGAGUACGCCGGCAACGGUGAAACUCAAAGGAAUUGACGGGGGCCCGCACAAGCGGAGGAACAUGUGGUUUAAUUCGAUGAUACGCGAGGAACCUUACCCGGGAUUGAAAUGUAGACGACGGACAGUGAGAGCUGUCUUCCCUUCGGGGCGUCUAUGUAGGUGCUGCAUGGUUGUCGUCAGCUCGUGCCGUGAGGUGUCGGCUUAAGUGCCAUAACGAGCGCAACCCUGACUGUCAGUUGCUAACAGGUUAAGCUGAGGACUCUGGCGGGACUGCCGGCGUAAGCUGUGAGGAAGGUUGGGAUGACGUCAAAUCAGCACGGCCCUUACAUCCGGGGCGACACACGUGUUACAAUGGCAGGGACAAAGGGCAGCUACCGGGCGACCGGAUGCCAAUCUCCAAACCCUGUCUNAGUUCGGAUCGGAGUCUGCAACUCGACUCCGUGAAGCUGGAUUCGCUAGUAAUCGCGCAUCACCAUGGCGCGGUGAAUA
rnacentral:rRNA from 1 species